rnacentral:rRNA from 1 species
UCGAGAAUUUUUCUCAAUGGGCGCAAGCCUGAAGGAGCGACGCCGCGUGGAGGAUGAAGGCCUUCGGGUUGUAAACUCCUGUCAUUUGGGAACAAACCUUUCAUUUAACUGGUGAAAGACUGAUAGUACCAGAAGAGGAAGAGACGGCUAACUCUGUGCCAGCAGCCGCGGUAAUACAGAGGUCUCAACCGUUGUUCGGAUUCAUUGGGCGUAAAGGGUGCGUAGGCGGUCGCGCAAGUCGGAUGUGAAAUCUCGGGGCUCAACCCCGAAACUGCAUUCGAUACUGCGUGGCUAGAGUACUGGAGAGGAGACUGGAAUUUACGGUGUAGCAGUGAAAUGCGUAGAUAUCGUAAGGAAGACCAGUGGCGAAGGCGAGUCUCUGGACAGUUACUGACGCUGA